UACAGAGGUCCCAAGCGUUGUUCGGAUUCAUUGGGCGUAAAGGGUGCGUAGGUGGCGCGCUAAGUCAGGUGUGAAAUUUCGGAGCUUAACUCCGAAACUGCAUUUGAUACUGGCGUGCUUGAGGACUGGAGAGGAGACUGGAAUUCAUGGUGUAGCAGUGAAAUGCGUAGAGAUCAUGAGGAAGACCAGUGGCGAAGGCGGGGCUCUGGACAGUUCCUGACACUGAGGCACGAAGGCCAGGGGAGCAAACGGG
rnacentral:rRNA from 1 species